AAAUGUUUUUAUUUAGUGUUUUGAUUCAACAUUUAUAAAAAACGUAGUUCAAAAUAUUAUUUCAAAGAUGGCAAUAAAACUACCUAAAAAUUGUUGUAGUUUUUGUAUAAGUCCCAGGAUUGAACUUGCAAUUUGGGCAUGUAUCAGUUUGACUAUCAGCACGGUGUCCUUAUUUUACCUGAUUUUUGGGGUAUUGUUCGCGGAUGCAAUGAGAGGGGAUGGCCAUCGCUACGCCCCCGAGGAUUUGAUAAUAUUGAUGAUCUCAUUGGUGUUAAUUGCCGACGUGGUGCACAACAUACUCAUCGUAGGGUCUUCUCUUGGGGGAAACGCGAAGCUGCUUAACAUUUCCUAUUACCUCGGCGCCGUGUUGUGGUUCGUUCUAACAGUAACGCUAAUUUUGGGUUUCGCAACUGCGAUAGCGAUCGGACCAUCAGACGCUGCGGCGCUGUUUUAUAAAUAUUCGGCAAUUUUUGUCUUACUGAUAACUAUGCGAGGAUACAUGCUCCUGCUAAUGUGCGUCGUCAGGUUGCAGCUACAAGAACAUGGAUAUAAUCACUUGGACAGGACCGUGGAAAUGGGGAGGGACCAGGAACCCCCAGUUCGACGCGUUCAUUAGUUUAUUUUAAUCUUAUAUAUUUCUGACAUACCUAUUGUAUAUGUGA